rnacentral:rRNA from 1 species
AUGGUCAGUAAUUAUUAUUGGGGUGCUGAGGAAGGAAAGAGGAAAACACACUGGUAUGCGUGGAAUAAAAUGACAAGGCCAAAAGCACGAGGUGGACUUGGAUUCAGGGAUUUCCGUCUGUUCAACCAAGCUUUGUUGGCCAGACAAGCAUGGCGCUUAAUAGCUUUCCCUAACAGUUUGUGCGCACGACUCUUGAAGGCCAAAUAUCACCCGAGUGGUAGAUUGGAGGACACGGUAUUUUCCGCUAAUCCAUCAUCUACGUGGCAAACUGUUAGUUAUGGGUUGGAGUUGUUAAAAAAAGGACUCGUAUGGAGAAUUGCUAAUGGACAAAAUGUGCGCAUUUGGCGAGAUCGAUGGUUA